rnacentral:rRNA from 1 species
GAUGAACGCUGGCGGCGUGCCUAAUACAUGCAAGUCGAGCGAACAGACGAGGAGCUUGCUCCUCUGACGUUAGCGGCGGACGGGUGAGUAACACGUGGAUAACCUACCUAUAAGACUGGGAUAACUUCGGGAAACCGGAGCUAAUACCGGAUAAUAUAUUGAACCGCAUGGUUCAAUAGUGAAAGACGGUUUUGCUGUCACUUAUAGAUGGAUCCGCGCCGCAUUAGCUAGUUGGUAAGGUAACGGCUUACCAAGGCAACGAUGCGUAGCCGACCUGAGAGGGUGAUCGGCCACACUGGAACUGAGACACGGUCCAGACUCCUACGGGAGGCAGCAGUAGGGAAUCUUCCGCAAUGGGCGAAAGCCUGACGGAGUAACGCCGCGUGAAUGAUGAAGGUCUUCGGAUCGUAAAACUCUGUUAUUAGGGAAGAACAAAUGUGUAAGUAACUAUGCACGUCUUGACGGUACCUAAUCAGAAAGCCACGGCUAACUACGUG